CCUGGUUGAUUCUGCCAGUAGUCAUAUGCUUGUCUCAAAGAUUAAGCCAUGCAUGUCUAAGUAUAAGCAACUAUACUGUGAAACUGCGAAUGGCUCAUUAAAUCAGUUAUCGUUUAUUUGAUAGUACCUUACUACAUGGAUAACCGUGGUAAUUCUAGAGCUAAUACAUGCUAAAAACCUCGACUUCGGAAGGGGUGUGUUUAUUAGAUAAAAAACCAAUGCCCUUCGGGGCUCCCUGGUGAUUCAUAAUAACCUAACGAAUCGCAUGGCCUUGUGCCGGCGAUGGUUCAUUCAAAUUUCUGCCCUAUCAACUUUCGAUGGUAGGAUAGUGGCCUACCAUGGUUUCAACGGGUAACGGGGAAUUAGGGUUCUAUUCCGGAGAAGGAGCCUGAGAAACGGCUACUACAUCCAAGGAAGGCAGCAGGCGCGCAAAUUACCCAAUCCCGACACGGGGAGGUAGUGACAAUAAAUACUGAUACAGGGCUCUUUUGAGUCUUGUAAUUGGAAUGAGUACAAUUUAAAUCCCUUAACGAGGAACAAUUGGAGGGCAAGUCUGGUGCCAGCAGCCGCGGUAAUUCCAGCUCCAAUAGCGUAUAUUAAAGUUGUUGCAGUUAAAAAGCUCGUAGUUGAACCUUGGGCCUGGCUGACCGGUCCGCCUCACCGCGUGCACUGGUUCGGCCGGGCCUUUCCUUCUGGGGAGCCGCAUGCCCUUCACUGGGUGUGUCGGGGAACCAGGACUUUUACUUUGAAAAAAUUAGAGUGUUCAAAGCAGGCCUAUGCUCGAAUACAUUAGCAUGGAAUAAUAGAAUAGGACGUGUGGUUCUAUUUUGUUGGUUUCUAGGACCGCCGUAAUGAUUAAUAGGGAUAGUCGGGGGCAUCAGUAUUCAAUUGUCAGAGGUGAAAUUCUUGGAUUUAUUGAAGACUAACUACUGCGAAAGCAUUUGCCAAGGAUGUUUUCAUUAAUCAGUGAACGAAAGUUAGGGGAUCGAAGACGAUCAGAUACCGUCGUAGUCUUAACCAUAAACUAUGCCGACUAGGGAUCGGGCGAUGUUAUCUUUUUGACUCGCUCGGCACCUCACGAGAAAUCAAAGUUUUUGGGUUCUGGGGGGAGUAUGGUCGCAAGGCUGAAACUUAAAGAAAUUGACGGAAAGGCACCACCAGGCGUGGAGCCUGCGGCUUAAUUUGACUCAACACGGGGAAACUCACCAGGUUAACCACGGUUGUUACGACCUCUGGGCCUGGAAAAGAAGGGGGGUGGCCCACCUCUCUCUA
rnacentral:rRNA from 1 species